rnacentral:rRNA from 1 species
UACGUAGGGACCAAGCGUUGUUCGGAUUUACUGGGCGUAAAGGGCGCGUAGGCGGCUUAACAAGUCACUUGUGAAAUCUCCGGGCUUAACUCGGAACGGCCAAGUGAAACUGUCAAGCUAGAGUGCAGAAGGGGCAACUGGAAUUCUCGGUGUAGCGGUGAAAUGCGUAGAUAUCGAGAGGAACACCUGCGGCGAAGGCGGGUUGCUGGGCUG